CGAGAGAGCUUGCUCUCUUGGUGGCGAGUGGCGGACGGGUGAGUAAUAUAUCGGAACGUGCCCAGUAGCGGGGGAUAACUACUCGAAAGAGUGGCUAAUACCGCAUACGCCCUACGGGGGAAAGGGGGGGAUUCUUCGGAACCUCUCACUAUUGGAGCGGCCGAUAUCGGAUUAGCUAGUUGGUGGGGUAAAGGCUCACCAAGGCAACGAUCCGUAGCUGGUUUGAGAGGACGACCAGCCACACUGGGACUGAGACACGGCCCAGACUCCUACGGGAGGCAGCAGUGGGGAAUUUUGGACAAUGGGGGAAACCCUGAUCCAGCCAUCCCGCGUGUAUGAUGAAGGCCUUCGGGUUGUAAAGUACUUUUGGCAGAGAAGAAAAGGUAUCUCCUAAUACGAGAUACUGCUGACGGUAUCUGCAGAAUAAGCACCGGCUAACUACGUGCCAGCAGCCGCGGUAAUACGUAGGGUGCAAGCGUUAAUCGGAAUUACUGGGCGUAAAGCGUGUGUAGGCGGUUCGGAAAGAAAGAUGUGAAAUCCCAGGGCUCAACCUUGGAACUGCAUUUUUAACUGCCGAGCUAGAGUAUGUCAGAGGGGGGUAGAAUUCCACGUGUAGCAGUGAAAUGCGUAGAUAUGUGGAGGAAUACCGAUGGCGAAGGCAGCCCCCUGGGAUAAUACUGACGCUCAGACACGAAAGCGUGGGAGCAACAGGAUUAGAUACCCUGGUAGUCCACGCCCUAAACGAUGUCAACUAGCUGUUGGGGCCGUUAGGCCUUAGUAGCGCAGCUAACGCGUGAAGUUGACCGCCUGGGGAGUACGGUCGCAAGAUUAAAACUCAAAGGAAUUGACGGGGACCCGCACAAGCGGUGGAUGAUGUGGAUUAAUUCGAUGCAACGCGAAAACCUUACCUACCCUUGACAUGUCU
rnacentral:rRNA from 1 species